ensembl:snRNA U6 U6 spliceosomal RNA
GUACUCACUUCACCAGCACAUAUUCUAAAACUGGAAUGAUAUAGAAAAGAUGAGCACACCCUCUGUGCAAUAAUGACAGGCAAACUGGUGUAGGGCUCCAUAUUUCU